AUUUCGGAACUGAGUCUAGUUCCUUCGAUAUCAGUUAUUCAGUAUCAUUAUUAGAUUACACUGAUAUCGAAGGAACUAGACUCAGUUCCGAAAUAU